CUCCUUGCACACACCGCCCGUCGCUUCACCCGAGUUGGACUUUGACGAGGUCACCUCAUGUUGUGGUGAUCGAAUCUAAGCUCGGCAAGGGGGGAG
rnacentral:rRNA from 1 species